CCGGGUUGCGGACAGUGUCUGGUGGGUAGUUUGACUGGGGCGGUCUCCUCCUAAAGAGUAACGGAGGAGCACGAAGGUUAGCUAAUCCUGGUCGGACAUCAGGAGGUUAGUGCAAAGGCAUAAGCUAGCUUGACUGCGAGAGUGACGGCUCGAGCAGGUGCGAAAGCAGGUCUUAGUGAUCCGGUGGUUCUGAAUGGAAGGGCCAUCGCUCAACGGAUAAAAGGUACUCCGGGGAUAACAGGCUGAUACCGCCCAAGAGUUCAUAUCGACGGCGGUGUUUGGCACCUCGAUGUCGGCUCAUCACAUCCUGGGGCUGAAGUAGGUCCCAAGGGUAUGGCUGUUCGCCAUUUAAAGUGGUACGCGAGCUGGGUUUAGAACGUCGUGAGACAGUUCGGUCCCUAUCUGCCGUGGGCGCUGGAGAAUUGAGGGGGGCUGCUCCUAGUACGAGAGGACCGGAGUGGACGCAUCACUGGUGUUCGGGUUGUCAUGCCAAUGGCAUUGCCCGGUAGCUAAAUGCGGAAGAGAUAAGUGCUGAAAGCAUCUAAGCACGAAACUUGCCCCGAGAUGAGUUCUCCCUGAGACUUUAAGUCUCCUGAAGGAACGUUGAAGACGACGACGUUGAUAGGUCGGGUGUGUAAGUGUAGCGAUACAUUGAGCUAACCGAUACUAAUGAACCGUGAGGCUUAACCUU
rnacentral:rRNA from 2 species